GUGCUCUUGAUCGAGCGGCCCUGCAGGGUAGCAGAACUCCUCAGGUUAGGCAGACCUGGGAGCCAGUCCCGGCAGGUUCUGGCACCUUAGGCCACGUCACUUCAGUUCUCCAAGCCUCAGUUCUGUCAUCUUUAAAGGGAAGGCUGGGAAGUGGAAACAACCAGAACAGGCACAAAGCCACCCCAUGCAGAUGACAGACUGACCUCCCAGCUGGGUUCCUGGAUGCCCUGGACCACUUACUCCUCCGGCAGAACAGGGAAGGCCCACCCGCUCACCUCUGGGCCACAGCAUAAGAGAGGAGGAGACACCUGAUUCCUUUAGACCCCGCAUUCCUGAGCCCUCCGCGCACCAGCUCCGUCUGGACCUUCUGCAGCCCACAGCCUUACUUUGGAGAUUGCAGAUACCACAUCCAAGCUACUAGACACAGUGGAUCUGUGAUUUUAACGAUUGCCCAGGGGACUCAAGUUUCUGAAGAAUUUCACACUUUAACAUCCAGCUUGACUUCUGCCCCCAGGAUGUGAGGCAGGAACUAUCACCAUCCCUACUUUACAAACGAGGAAGCUGAGGCUUUCAGAGAGAAGAGUUCGGAACAGUCUGCAAGGAGGCGUCAGACCUGAAAAGCUGCCAGGGAGGCCCUGCAGAAUCAGUGCAAAGGCUCACGCUGACUGCGAGGGAACGACAAGAAACGCCCUGCCUGCUGCAUCAGGAAGCAAAUCUCGCCUCCACGUUUUACAAAUACCCACUGCCCACCUACAUGCCCCAGGUUGCUGGACAGCAGAAACACGGGCUCCACACUAUCCCUUCCAUCCUCCUCAACCCUCGGCUUCCCCAUUAGGCCCUCAGACACACAGACUCCUUCCUCCUUCCACUCCCCCUCAAAAAGUCCCACAUAUUAGCUCCAGCAAACAGAGCCCCAGGAGGAUCCCACGGCCUGGUUCUGCCACCAGCCAGACUCCAGGGCACGCUCCGGCUCGGCAGCAUCAGCCCUGCCCUCUGCUGCCCUAAGGAAAAUCUUUGCAGAGCCUUAGUGAGGCCUCCACCUCUAAGGGUGGACGGAUGGGGACACUUAGAUCCAGGGCCCCAGCUACUCCGAUUUUCCACUCUUGACUCACAGUGCCCUGCCCAGAAAGGCCUUUGGGCCCGACUACCCGUGGUUCAGAAGGCCAGAAUUCAGGAGAUGUGUUUGCAUGUGCGAAGUGAGCCAACGAAUGGAAACUCUGGCCCUACCUAGAGGGAACGCCUCGGAGAGACACAACUUCUCUGAAACGACCUGAUAGCAAAAGUUGGGAGAAUUGAGA
rnacentral:lncRNA from 1 species